ensembl:snoRNA Gm25485 small nucleolar RNA SNORA17
CCUGCCCCGACAGGCAUCGCAGAUGUGACUUCUGUGUCACAUAUGAACCAGUAGGUGGCAGAGAGGAGAAAGGCUAUGCUUAUAUUCAGUGCUCUGUCCUAUGAACAUCAGGAUGCUUAGUAAGUUAACAUU